AUUCUAUUAUUUAUUAGUUACUCUAUACAUUUUGUGUCGUAUCAAGACCGUAAAGUGAUUUUCAAUAAUCGCCCUAAACUUUAAAAUUAAUUUUAAAUUUGUCUCCAGUUAUGUGUACUGCUGGUUACCCACUUACAUUAUUAUUUAAAUUACGAUCUCGUUGAACAACAAAGCUUCCAAUUAAUAUAAUAAUAAUACAAUAUACAGUUUUUAAAACUGCGAUUUAAAAACUGACUUAUAAAAAGCAAAAAAUAACUGUUAUAAGUCAUACGUUACCGAUUUAAACAAAUAAUAAUGAUAUUUAAAUCGAUUCAGGCAUCUUCGAAUAAUUGGUGAACAUACAUAAAAAAAAGUUGCAGUCAAAUUGCAAAUCUCGUACUUUUUUUAAAAAUCAGUAAGAAAUGCGCGCUUCUUAACGUUAUUAAAAUUCUCUUUAGACUUAAGAUUCCGCACGAUUUAAUUCCAAAAAGCUUAUCGCAUGUUAUUAGUGAUAACAAUAACACAUUUUCUCAGAAGCUAGUAUCAGAUAACUGCCUAUAAGUACCUAUUUUGAAUUUAGCCGACUCCUUAACAAAAAUCCACGAUUGCUUACACGACUUGGUCCAUGAAAAGACCUAAUAAACAUUCGCUUUAAUAAACACGUCUGCUUAAAGCCAAGGAUACACUAGGGCACAAAUGUCCCACAACAGGUAUAGGUGGCAUGUACAGGGAAACUGGCUCAUUUCACCUAAUAUAUCUGGCGACAUCGCGAGACUUAUUUCCGUAGCUCCGUAGCCACAUCGAAACUACGCUACAACACAGGUCACAGGAUAACCGGCAAUGUCGCGCUACUUCGCUCGAUAAAGUUGGAGACUGUCGCGUGAUGUUGCCAGACAUGUCGAGCGCAGUCCGGCAACGUCGUGCAACCUCGCCCAACGUUGCUAGCGACACGUGUCGCAGGACAUACAUCCCCUAGUGUAUCCUUGGCUUAAAACAUACCUAAUGCUUUGCAUACAAAGCAAAUAUUUACCACGUGCCAUUAAAAUAUGCAGAUAUUUCGUAUUUAAUCGGUUUAUCAAUAAAGUAUAGAUAUAUGUUCAUUUAUCACUCAAUAACUGAUAAAACAUGACCUGAUAGUGUAAAAGCUGCGUAUUUAGGUAGAUAUACAUUGAUUAUUUUGAAUUAUUAACGAGGUGAUAAGACAAGCAUAGAUAACGCUGGAGGUGUCACAAUCCCCCGUAAAUAAGUGUCACGUGGCACUUUACUUGCACUGAAUAUAAAUAAAUAAUGUGAACAUAUAGUACAGUAGUACUUGCUGUUUGUAGAAUAGUCGCAAAAGCACUUUCGUCGAAGGUCGUGUUUAACGGGUUAACCUAAGGAACAUGGAAACUAUGUCCCGUAGGAUGAAUUAAGUAUUGGGUACACCGCUAACAAAAUGUGGCAAAUAUACAUCAUCUCUAUCUACCUUAAAAUAUACCUAUACGUAUAUACAACAUCCUGAGGCAUAACAUAAAAACAGCGUCUCAAACCAAACCUCGAAAAAUAAUUAGAACGAGAUCAGAUCUGAAUCAUUAUAAUCUAAUGUAGGUGCUGCAUAUCGGGGACUCCCAAAUAUCAAUUGCAAUAAGUUGAAAAUGCUACUUUCUUGAUAACAAAAAUGCUAAUUAGUACUACAUCAAAUAUCAAUCAAUCAGAAUAAGUACGUAAAUGCACGAAUACUUAGGUAUACAAAGCUCUAAAGAUAUUUGUGCGUUGUAUAUAUUUGUAAACAUACUUAGUGUUUUCAAUACAUAUUUAUCUAUUUAUCUAUUAUCUAUUAUUAUCUAUUAUCUAUCUUCUAUCUAUAUAUAUAAAAAUCAAUUGCUGUUCCUUUGUCUCGCUAAAACUCGAGAACGGCUGAACGGAUUUAUCUUAUCUUGGUCUUGAAUUAUUCGUGGAGGUCUAGGGAAGGUUUAAAAGGUGAGAAAAUAUCAAAUAAUUGACGGAAAAGCCCUAAAAACAGCCCUUUUCUUUAUCCCAUACAAACGUUUUCUAACUAAUACGUAGAGUCAAUUUGAGCUUUAUUGCUAUUGGAUAAAGUUCAUUGUUGGAUAAAUGCUAUUGGAUACUAAAAAACAAAUGCUAUUGAAUAAGACUUGGAGCACAGAAUCCCUACUAAUAUUAUUAUGCGAAAGUAACUCUGUCUGUCUGUAAUUACGCUUUCAAGCCUAAACCAGUGAACCGAUUUUGAUGGAAUUUAGUACUGAGAUAGAAUAGACCUUGAUACUUUUUAUUGCAAAAAAAAAAUAGCGGAGAAAAAUAGUGGGUAAAAAUAAGGGAUAAAUGGUCAUAUGGAAAUUCGUCUUUUUAAAAGCUGUAACAGUAAAACUUAGUAUUUAGAUACUUAAUGAGGAACGAAAGAACAUGGUCUACUUUUUAUUGCAAAAAAAUAGGGGAGAGUGGGUAAAAAUAGGGGAUGAAUGGUCAUAUGGAAAUUCGUCAUUUUUAAAGCUGUAACAGUGAAAUUUUGUAUUUAGACACUUAAUGAGGAGCGAAAGAACAUAGGCUACUUUUUAAUAAAAAGGGUAGAAGGCGUAGAAUGCUUGAUAGAGGAGAUUAAUGUUUGCUUGAAAAUUCGUCAUUUUCGUAAAUACGUUGCCUGUGGCGUUGCUCGCGUUCGAUUCUUAUUUAAAUACACAUAUACUUAUUUACAUCGCCAAUAUCCCUACUACCAUACUAAUGUUAUGAAUGCGAAAGUAAUCCUGUUUGUGUUGAGGUUACGCUUGCACAAAUGUUUUUUUUUUGAAAUAUAACAACGAAACAAUGUAUUUUUUUUAUUGAUAGGCAAUAUAUAGAAAAUUAAAGGAUAAUAAUAUAGAUAACCUUGGCUACUUUUCAUCAUGAUUAUAAAAUGAUGAAUCGGCGGUCGUGGUUUCUUUGGAAUACAUAUCUUUAAAAAUGCUAACAGUAACAUAUUCUCAAGUAAUUCACAUUUUAGAUGACAUACGGCAGCAUUUUAACCACUAACACCACUACGCGGACGAAGUCGCGGGCAAAAGCUAGAUUCGAUAAAUUUUCAUUUGUACAUGUCAAAUAUUUGUUGUUUCUAAAUUCAAAUUCUGUAAAUAAUGAUUGACAUUUAUGCAUAAACUAUGAAAAGGGUGAAUAAACAAUUGUCUGUAUUUUUUUUAAUCUAUUGAAAAUGUUGAAAAGUGCAUUAAGCAUUAAUAGAAAUUCCUCAAAUAUUAAUUAUGCGUGCGUUCAGAAAUAAUGACAAAUUAUCAACAGUUACGCGUGUGUUCAGAAAUUUAUUUUGUGUAAAUUAAAGUUUCUAUUCACGUUUCCGAACAAACGAUGCUCUUUCAAUAUAGUCUAUUGGUGUGAAUGACAUUUACAUUCGUAUUGCGCGUUUUUUAAAAUAUGCAAAAUUAAAUGUAUAUUUUUCAAUAUUUCUGAGAGAUUAUCUUAAUAUUUCUUCGAGUUUUAAAGACUAAGAAGAUUUUUAUUUGCUAAUAAGUGUGUGUUAAUCAAGUUGGAAUUUCGUUUUUAACAAUGCUACCAACCAGACGUACAAGCUUAGGCCGCAGAACUCGAAAUACGGCAAGUCAAAGAAAUAUAAGAGCAAAUCAAACUGAUGAGCAUCGCGAAGCGCGAAAUGAACUUAAACUGAAUCGAUAUCAAGAUAGAAAUGUUGUGUUUAAUCCCCACAAAGCUGCAUUCAGUUAUAAUGUGGCAAUUGAUUACAGUUCAGAGCAAAUUGUUGCUAUUGGACUAAUGAACAUUGUGUGUCCACAUUGGGAUUGAAAUUAAAAAAUUAAGCCUCUGGAUUGUGUUGCGCCAGCGGCCAAGUCAAAUUGACGCCAUUGGUACCGCCACCAGAGCCACUACAUUCAUUGGUUCAUUUUUUGACUCAUAACCAGCAGUACAAUAAUUGCUUUCAAAUGGCAUCAUUUUGGGCAACAAAAGUUAUAAGAGACAAUUUUUUGCCUACUUUUAGCAAAUUCACGGAUUCAAAUAUAUCAUCAAACAGGUUCCUUAUUGCCAGUGCCUGUUGAAGACUAUACAUUUUUGCAAAUAUAUUUUAUGGACAAUUCAGCAAGAGAAGUCGAUCAGCGUUGCGCACACAACAACUCAGUAAAGAGAUCCAUUGUGAUGAACAACUUCAAACAUUUUUCCUUCAACACAAUGAAUUAGUUGCAUUAGACCGAUGCAUUAGACAUUCACAAAUGCAUUAGACCGCAUGCCAUCAGAUAAUCACAAAAUUGUCAUCAGAGCCGAUAAGGCGCCUGCAGGACAGUGAAAUGAUUGAAUCCAAUGAAAUAAACACUAUUAUGAAAAUA